rnacentral:rRNA from 1 species
GAUGAACGCUGGCGGCAUGCCUAACACAUGCAAGUCGAACGGAAAGACGACGUCGUUGCCUGGCGAGUGGUGGACGGGCGAGUAAGACAUACGAGCGUGCCCAGACCUUGUGUAUAAGGUAGCGAAAGGUGAGCUAGUACCGCAUACGAUCUAAGAUUUUGAUCCGGGGAGUGCAAGGGUUAGCGACGGUGGUGCGGCCGCUGGUAGAUGAGUUAGUUGUUGAGUUAAAAGUUUACCAAGCCGACGAUUUGUAGCUGAACUGAGAGUACGAGAGGCGACACUGGAACUGAGCCACGGCCCAGACUCCUACGGGAGGCAGCAGUGGGGAAUUUUGGGCAAUGGGCGAAAGCCUGAUCCAGCAAUGCCGCGUGCGGGAUGAAGGCCUUCGGGUUGUAAACUGCUUUUGUGCGGAACGAACAGGUUCUGGCUAAUACGUGGGGCGCAUGACGGUACCGGAAGAAUAAGCACCGGCUAACUACGUG